rnacentral:sRNA from 1 species
GGUUUUAACCGAUUUAACGAAGGUUAUCAUAAGUGUCAUCCUUUCGAAUGAAUGUGAUGAUAUAUCAAUUUUUGGAGCAACUUCGUCGAUGUUGUCUGUUGAAGUAUA